GCAAAGAUGUGUUUGUAAACAGCAAAGAUAACUAUAUUCUAAUUUGUUGCAGGCAAGACGAGCUCUCUAAUCAGCAUAUCAGAAGCGUUGGUGCCGGUCAUCUACUCCCCCAGUAUAUAGUUUUGUGUACGACCGCACCCUUACGACGUUUUCGGGCGCUUUUUACUUGAUCAGCGCUGGAUUAGCCGUCCCUGCCAUAGGUAUAUUAAUAUUGUUGUUCUACCUCCGUUCAAGAGAGGCAAAUGAAAAUAACCCAACGUCAGACACCAAGCCGAAA